GGGCCGUUAGCUCAGUGGUAGAGCGUUAGUAUGGCAUACUAAAGGCCGCGGGUUCGAUCCCCGCACGGUCCA
rnacentral:tRNA from 3 species